UAAAUUAGAAGUUAAUUUUUCUUAUUAAAUAUUUAUGAAUAGUUAAUACUUAAAUUCAAAUAUACACUUAUAUACUAAUUAAUUCAUAUGGGUUUAAUUUAACAUAGUACAAUUCAAAAUUGUACCAAAAUUAAGUCGAUAAUAUAUGUUUGGGAGAAAAUUUAAGGCAUUAGUUUAGAUCAGUAUGCAAGUGACAUGUGGUAAUAAAGAGUAAAAGAGAAGAAAAGUCAGUAGUAUUGACCAGAAAGGAGUAUAACUCAUAUAGACGGGGGUGUACUCUCAGGAAGAAUGAUAGCUCUAGUAAAUUUGUUUGUUUGAAUUAGAUUUGAGUUAGACCCCAUGAGAGCAGUUGAUUUAUUCAAAUCGGAUCUUAUUAAAAAUCCAAUAAAAACAUUAUAUAUAAUCUAAUCUAAUCAAUUCUAAUCCAAUCCAAUCAUGUGUGCCAAAUAUACUCAUGUUCUUCUGCAUGUUAUUAUUCACCAUAGACAACAUUUAAUAAGGUUUUAUUCAUAUUGUUUAAAAAAAUCAUAUAAUAUUUCACAUACAUAGUUGAUUAGGGAUAAGUAUUCUUGUGGAUGUAGGCAAAAAGAUCAAACUAUGUAAAUUCUUAUGUGUUUUUUAUACUUAUUCUUAUUUUUUUGCUUAUUAUGAUGAUGUCGAUACUCAGAUCAUUUUUCAAAUAUAAGGUCACUUGAGCUACUCCUAUGCUUUCUUGAGAUCCCCAAAUCAACCUUUUAAGUAAAGUCUCAGUAACUUUAUUGAACUUUCAAUAUUAUCCCUUAAAUUAUCGCCUAGUUCACUACUCAGACCACCUCAGACUGUCCAUCUCACCUUAGUUAUAAUGCAUGCCCUCAAACAUUAGAAAAACACACUUAAACAUUUAUUAGCCUCAUCUCUCUUCAAAUAUGGAUUUAUUAGUUUGAAAUGGAUUUGAGCUAAGUCCAAUGAGAGCAACUGAUUUGUUCAAAUUGGAUCCUAACAAAAAUCUAGUGAAAAUAUGGCACCGUCUAUGGGGAUUAUUACAACCUCAUAGCGGUUGCUAAUUUGGUUUGGUUUGUAUUUUGAAUGAAAGCAUAAUAGAGCCAUCCUCAUAUGCGGAUGUCGCCAAUUAAAGAUACCUAAGAUAAGCUAAAUAUUAGCACAAACUUCAAAAGAUGUAUGAUAUGAUAACUAUAGUAGAUCUAAUAAGUACAAUGGAGGAAAAAUAAGGAACAUUGGUAGUGGAAGACCUAAGGUAACCCUUAAUACCGAAGAGGAUCCCAUAAGAGAACUCUACUGAAGGGUCUUUAAGAAAUUGCCAUGGAUGAUUCCUUGCAGAAACAACAUAGAGGAAUCCUCAAUGACAGGAGGUCUCUUUAAAAGGGAUAGAGUUUCUUUGAAAAUCUAUUUAAAGGGUGAUAUGUGUAACUUUCUUUAAAAAAAAAAAAAAAAACUUUAUAGCUAAGAAUCAACCUCCAGUCGCUUACCAAUUUCCAUUUACCAUUACUCUCCAAGUAAAAGUCAAGAGAUAUCUUGCUAAUUGCUCAAUUGUCUGAAAAAAAAAUGCCACAAGUUUAGUUUUGCUCAAAUACGAAGAUAAUAGAGUUCAACAACUAUUCGCUAUAUUAGUAAGGCUAUGAUGGAUAUGAAAACAAGUCUCGCUCAGCUACCAAAGCUGAAGUCAUUGUCAAAUUUGUAGUUAUAUUUGCCAAUGACUUAGGGGGAAGGGGGAGAUGUACCUUGAUAGAGCUUAAAGAUGUACGCUAAGGGAGCUUAGCAUGGAGGUGCUAGAAUGAGAAACAUAAGCAAAGCUUGUAUAGUAGUAUAAAUCAGUUGCCAGCAAGUUUCAAUGGAUGGAACAAUAGUUGAGCAUCCUUAGAAUGCAAUUGCGUUUAAGAAACAUAAUCAAUAAUUUACUCUAAUAAUUUCUCCCUUGUGUUAAAAAACAUAAUCAAUAACUUACUCUAAUCAUUUCUCCUUUAUCUCUCUUAUUCACUUAUGAUUAUAUGAUUGAAAAUAUUAUGUGAAGACCUUGUAAAGACUUUAGGGAUGCCCCGCACAAGUUGAUUUUUAUUUAUCAAUAUUUACUGUUUGACUAAGAUAUCAGGAUAGCUCAUAGAAAUUAGUAGAUAAGCUCCCCAGAAAAAGGAUUAUUUAGAUAAAUAAGCCAACUAUCAAGGGUAUUAUUGAGACUCAUAUUUUGAUGUUUAAGGCUAGCGUGUUAACAGUGCAUGUCAUUGUGAGAGAUAACAAAAAUAUCUUCCUUUUUUUCUAAUAAUAAAGAGCUCAGAAGAAUGAAGAUUCUUUGGCCAAGCAAUAUGAGAAAGCCACCUCAACUGUUCUUUGCUAUCCCCUGAAAAAUUGCAGGAUUACAAGGCUAAGAGGUUGCCAUUUGCCUAGUUGUAGAGGCAAAAAUGUGGCUAAAGGUUUCCUUAUCUCCCAAGUUCAUAGGUGUCACCAUUAAGAGACCACAAAAUAAAUUACUCAAGUAACCUCACUUAAAGGAGGUCAGCUGGUAAAUGAAUGUCACAUGUCCAAAUAGACCAAAAUGACUUUUAGGCACACUCCACAAAAGUUCAAUGGUUUCUCUAAAAACAGUAACUUUUCCAUUAUUCAAAAAUUAGAGUCAUCUUCUUUUUCCUAAGAGCAAAAAACGACAUUGCCAAAGCUUCAAGGUUCCAUAAACCUUAAGGCUACCUCUUCAUCACCCAAAGUCUUAUUUGAGUUAUGUAUUGGGAAGAAAAACUUUUGGGUUUAAGAUAAGAGAAUUGAAUGUUGAUUGGGUGUUCUAAUUGAGUGUUGAUAGUAAUAAAGCCAAAUCAUAAUUGAUUGCUCUUU
rnacentral:lncRNA from 1 species